ACAAAUAAUAUAUUACCAAUGCUUAAGGUAAGCUUUUGCGCUUUCACGAAUCUCGACUCUAACAAUUUCUCAUGGGAGAGAUUGACGCACUGUGAUUUUGCCGAUGGUGUAGUAUCAGAAAUGCUCACUGACCCUCCUUUUUCUCCUGCAUGUUGGAUUGAUCAAAGAAACAGAAGCUGAUUUUGAUAAUAGCGAGGCUGUAUCGAAGGGAACAAGGCUCAUCAUAGGGAAAUAAUCAAAGUGCUCUCUCUUGGGAUUUAUACACCAAGAGUGCAUGACAGAUCUGAUACAGGGAGGAUGACCCCGCAGAGUCUUACAAUAAUUAUGCCUUGCUGAUAUUUGGUGUACAUUCUCAACCUCUAAUGCUGCUGUAGACCCUAUGGUUGAUGCAUUGGCUAGAGUGGCGGAUACCCUUAGGGACCAGACUGCAGCCACUCACUUGUUUAUGGAGCAAGUGCGAGAGCAACUCAAUAAUCAGAAUACUGCUCCUAACAAAGGAGUUGGGGUUGAUGCCAAGUCAUUGAAGAAAGCAUGAAAGAGGCUGCGGCAGAUAAAGAGAAGAAUCAAUGGUGGAAGUGGAAGAGGGAUGAUGGUAGGCCUAAAAGCAAGCAGUUUCAGGCUCAGUUCAGGAAAGAUAAAAACAGGUUCGGACAGGUAACUGGUUCUCCAGAUGUCCAAAGUGUGGGAAGAGACACACCGAUGAGUGGCUGGCUGGCCAAAGAGUCUGCUACAAAUGUUGUAAACCAGGUCAUAUGGUACAACAGUGUCCUCUGACGGUGGGACAAUGUCCUGACACCAGGACACAGACUAGAGGAAGGGUCUUGACCCUUAUUGGCCAAGAAGCGGUCUAGGCUCAAAACAUGGUUCAAGGUAGGUAGACCUGAGAUUGUAGAGAUGACAUGGUUCGUGCUUCUCAUUGCAGACUGCUUUUUCCACUUCAGUUUCCAAUGCCACCGUGUGGUCGCUUAUAUUUUCAGACAUGGACAAAGGUGUUUCGCCCCAAUUUCGACAGCAAUGGAAGCAUUUGCCUUGACAUAUUGAAGGAGCGAUUGGGCCCUGCACUGACCAUGUCAGAGGUUUAUUCAGAAUGUCUCUUGCUACAUAUAAUGCCUGCGUAGUAUUUUAGAGAUGAUUCCUUUUAGAUUUAACUUUCCAGUGACAGUGGGGUUAUUAAUAUUUUUGCAGAAUAUGAUCUAAUAACAAAAUUGAUUGUAUAAAAUUUCUUGGAUUUUUGUUGCCUAGUGAUUCCACAUCUAUCAGGAAUUCUAUUACUUUCGCUAGAUAUGCAACUUAAAUAUUUUAAACAAAAUAUUUUCUGUUAGGGGAGUUGCUUCAUUGUCACUUUGUCAACACUCUAUAAUAUACAUUCUGACCUCAAAUUGCCUUGUAUCGUAAUGGCUCAACACAAUGCAUGCAGAAAUUGAUAAACGCUGCAGAACGUUAGAAAACAAAAUGAGGUAAUUUAAUAUUAUGUAGGAAAUACCUCUUUUGUUGGAGGAGCAAUUUCAAGUCUUAUUAUUAAGGAAACAUCUGCCAUGGCUAUUAUUGGCAAUUUGAAACUGUGAAAUGUUGCCUGUCUUUGUACCAUCCUUUUCAUUCUAGUUUGUAAACUUGCAAUUACUGGCUUACAAGGGGAUACAAUUUUUGUUUUUUGUCUUCUCAGGUUUUGCUCUGAAGUUGUUCACUCUUAACAGACCCUCAUUCUGAUGAUCCUUUGGUGCCAGAGAUAGCCCACAUGUACAAAUCUGACAGGAGUAAGUACGAGUCGACUGCAAGAAGCUGGACUCAGAAAUACGUUAUGGGUUAGUUCAAUUCUCUUGGUGAUGGGAGGGCUUCGCGUUUAAAAUAUUUCGUGUCAAAUGGAAGUGUGUAACUUAUCUACUUAGUAGUAUCUGGAUUCUGGAGAGCUCCAAAUUCUUCCCUCCGAAGAAGAACACAUUGUUAAAUUGUGUAGGAACAUUACCUUUGGAUAGAGAUCUUCAUAGAUGUUGAGAAUAGUUGGUAAAACUAACGUCUUUAUUAAAUAUGUGGAACUCAAGAAACAUGGAAGGAAUACAUUGAAGAAAUAGAGAU